GGACCUCUAGCUCAGUGGUCAGAGCAAUCGGCUCAUAACCGAUCGGUCCAGGGUUCGAGUCCCUGGAGGUCCA
rnacentral:tRNA from 1 species